CGCGCGCUGUCGCUGCUGCUGCACGCCAGGAGCCACCUCGCACACGACCACGCGCGCUGCAGCCUUUGCAGUAGUCCUACAGACGAGCAAGAGCUCUGCAGAUCAUGGGAGCCGGUGGAGACGACCAGUGACAGCGAGC